rnacentral:miRNA from 1 species
UAUUAUGUUAUAUAUUAAG